rnacentral:rRNA from 1 species
GACGAACGCUGGCGGCGUGCUUAACACAUGCAAGUCGAGCGAGUGGCGGACGGGUGAGUAAUGUAUGGGAAACUGGCCGAUGGAGGGGGAUAACUACGGGAAACAGUGGAUAAUACCGCAUAACGUCGGAUGUGCCCAGAUGGGAUUAGCUAGUAGGUGGGGUAACGGCUAACCAAGGCGACGAUCCCUAGCUGGCCUGAGAGGAUGACCAGCCACCCGGGAACGGAGCCCGGGUCACGAUCCCUACGGGAGGCAGCAGUGGGGAACAUUGCACAAUGGGCGAAAGCCUGAUGCGGCCAGGCCGCGGGUAUGAAGAAGGCUUUCGGGUUGUAAAGUACUUUCAGCGAGGAGGCGUUACUCGCAGAAGAAGCACCGGCUAACUCCGUGCCAGCAGCCGCGGUAAUUC